ACGCUUUUAUAGACUUUCCACGAACAAGUGUCUGUACGAUAAGUUGGGCGCCCGGACUGUCUUACUACUGUCAUACUGCCACACCGGUAGGCUGAUCGGAAGAGUUGGCAGCGCUCUGGCGUGGCUUGUGAGGAUGUGGCUGUACGUGGCUGCUGCAGGCGAAGUAUAUACAGGAUGCCCUGCGAGUUAAGACUUGAACUCCCAGCCCAACGUAAUUCCCAUGCUGGAGUUACUGCCCAACCAGAACACCAUGUGGCCUGUGGACUACAUGCUGAACCCCUGGAAACGAGACUACACUACUACUACUACUACACGCCCUUCACAUGACUAUAUAGGAACAGCGGUACCUAAUCAUAAUCGGCAGCGUCGCAUGAUGGGAACUACCGAAGCUGAAGAUUACCAGCUUUUUUGAUGAUCGUGGCAGGUACUCAUCUACCCUACGCUGUCCGAGUCCGAAAGUGGCCUCAAUUACUGCUGCAUAUGCUCCUCUUGCCCUGUGAGAUGACCCCGCCUCACUGUCUCAGUCCACAGACUCCGACUUUCGCUAUCCUCUUGAGGGACUUCUUUUUAUGAUGCCGCUCUGCAGGAAAACUCAACAUGCAGGUCAUCAGGUAGACAGAAAGAUAAUCAGAGCCUGUAAACGUGAAAGAAGGAAAUUCAGGAAACUCAACUUGACAGCUGUAGCCACUAGUAACCUCCCCUUAUCGGGACAUGUACAAUCAAACUUCAUGAUCUUGUUUGAAUAUUACACUCACUUACUUCAGGCUUACUCUAAAAUAUGUAAUGAAACACUGGCCACAGUUUAUAACUCAAUAAACUAACUUGUCAUC